GAUAACCGAAGAUAACUGCUGGGUUUAAGGUUGGAUUAGUGAUGACGCGAACAUCACCACCGCCAGGUGCCCAAGUGUCGUAGAUACCACCGAAGAACAUAGCCUUCAGGACAAGUAACAACGCACCACAACCCAAGAUGAUCAGGUGGAACCCGAUGAUGUUGGUCAUCUUGUUCUUGUCUUUCCA
rnacentral:antisense_RNA from 1 species